rnacentral:rRNA from 1 species
UUCCCCUAGUACGGCGAGUGAAGAGGGAAAAGCUCAAAUUUAAAAUGGGUGGCUACGGCCGUCCGAGUUGUAAUCUAGAGAAGUGUUUAGCGCGCUGGACCGUGUACAAGUCCUUUGGAACAAGGCGUCAUAGAGGGUGAGAAUCCCGUCUACGACACGGACUGCCAAGCGCUUUGUGAUACACUCUCAACGAGUCGAGUUGUUUGGGAAUGCAGCUCAAAAUGGGUGGUAAAUUCCAUCUAAAGCUAAAUAUGGGCGAAAGACCGAUAGCGAACAAGUACCGUGAGGGAAAGAUGAAAAGCACUUUGGAAAGAGAGUUAAACAGUACGUGAAAUUGUUGAAAGGGAAACGCUUGAAGUCAGUCGCGUCUUCAGAAAUUCAGCAGGGCUUCUGCCCUGUGUACUUUUCUGUGGGACGGGCCAGCAUCAGUUUUGGCUGCCAGAAAAAGGUGGGAGGAAGGUGGCACCUCUGGGUGUGUUAUAGCCUCCGAUCGUAUGUGGCAGCCGGGACUGAGGACUGCAGCACGCCUUCAUGGCCGGGGUUCGCCCACGUAACGUGCUUAGGAUGCUGGCGUAAUGGCUUUAAGCGACCCGUCUUGAAACACGGACCAAGGAGUCUAACAUGCCUGCGAGUAUUUGGGUGGCAAACCCAUAUGCGCAAUGAAAGUGAACGGUUGGGACUUCUGUCAUGGAAGGCACCGACGCCCGGACCAGACCUAUUGUGACGGAUCCGAGGUAGAGCAUGUAUGUUGGGACCCGAAAGAUGGUGAACUAUGCCUGAGUAGGGUGAAGCCAGAGGAAACUCUGGUGGAGGCUCGUAGCGAUUCUGACGUGCAAAUCGAUCGUCGAACUUGGGUAUAGGGGCGAAAGACU